rnacentral:rRNA from 1 species
UACGUAGGGGGCACGCGUUGUCCGGAUUCAUUGGGCGUAACGAGCGUGUAGGCGGCCAGGUAGGUCGGUUGUGAAAACUGGAGGCUCAACCUUCAGACGUCGACCGAAACCAUCUGGCUAGAGUCCGGGAGAGGAGAGUGGAAUUCCUGGUGUAGCGGUGAAAUGCGCAGAUAUCAGGAAGAACACCCGUGGCGAAAGCGGCUCGCUGGAACGGUACUGACGCUGAGACGCGAAAGCGUGGGGAGCGAACAGG